AUACGGAGGGUGCAAGCGUUAAUCGGAAUUACUGGGCGUAAAGCGCGCGUAGGCGGUUUAGUAAGUCGGAUGUGAAAGCCCCGGGCUCAACCUGGGAAUUGCAUUCGAUACUGCUUGACUAGAGUAUGGUAGAGGGAAGUGGAAUUUCCGGUGUAGCGGUGAAAUGCGUAGAUAUCGGAAGGAACACCAGUGGCGAAGGCGGCUUUCUGGACCAAUACUGACACUGAGGCGCGAAAGCGUGGGGAGCAAACAGGAUUAGAAACCCCGGUAGUCC
rnacentral:rRNA from 1 species